UAAGUUAUUUUCUUUAUCACAUUAUUUUAAUUUUAUUAAUAAAAUUAAUUAAUGAGGAAAGUCCGGACACUAAAUAGAAAUACAAUGGAUAACAUCCAUACAUCGUAAGAUGAUGAAAAGUGCAACAGAAAGAAUGUAUAAAAAUUUAUAAAAAAUUUUUAAUAGUGAAAUCAUGUAAACUCUGUAUAGUGAAAUGUCAAAAUACCAUAAAUUAUUUCUAUUAUAUUAAAAAAUAUGGUUGGUAGACAGAUUGAUAUAUAUGGUAACAUAUAUACUAGAUAAAUGAUAAAGAUAUUUAUAUUUUUUUAUUAAUUUAUAAUAUAAAUAUACAGAAUUCGGCUUAUAUAUUAACUUAAUAA
rnacentral:RNase_P_RNA from 1 species